rnacentral:rRNA from 1 species
UCCCUCAGUAACGGCGAGUGAAGCGGGAAGAGCUCAAGCUUAAAAUCUCCACAUUUGUGGCGAAUUGUAGUCUAUUGAGGCUGUUGUCAGCACAGCGACUUGGGACAAGUCCCUUGGAAGAGGGCAGCAUGGAGGGUGAUACUCCCGUCUCUGCUCAAGUUGUCUGUGUGUACGAUACGCUUUCUUUGAGUCGAGUUGUUUGGGAAUACAGCUCAAAGUAGGUGGUAAAUUCCAUCUAAAGCUAAAUAUUGGUGCGAGACCGAUAGCGAACAAGUACCGUGAGGGAAAGAUGAAAAGAACUUUGAAAAGAGAGUUAAAGAGUACCUGAAACUGUUGAAAGGGAACCGUAUCGUUUCUAGUGUUUAUCCUAUGCAUAUUUCAUUGGCGGUUGCAAAAUUGCUGGUGCCCUGUGCAUGGGUGUGACGUCAGAGUCAGUUUAAAUUGCGGGAGAUGGGUAGGGAGGAGGUGCGUCACUUCGGUGAAAGUUACAGCUCUCUGCUUAGUAGCCGUGGUUAAGACUGAGGUGCCUACAACAUGCUUUGGGGUCUGCUGUUGUCUCGUUUUAGUGAUUGUCUGGAUAGCUUGCUAUGCUGGUGAUUAGUGAGGCGAUUGAUAAUAGUAGUAACCUCUGCUGUUCGGGACUCUGGCGAAAUGGAGCGAUACGACCCGUCUUGAAACACGGACCAAGGAGUCUAACAUGUGUGCAAGUAUUAGGGUGUGGAAACCCAAAUGCGCAAUGAAAGUAAAGGACACAUUAGUGUCUGUGGUAGGAAGGAGCUGUAAUGGUUCUGGCACUAUCGACCGAUCAUGAACCUCCGGGUGAAAGAUUUGAGUAUGAGCAUAUAUGUUGGUACCCGAAAGAUGGUGAACUAUGCCUGAAUAGGGUGAAGCCAGGGGAAACUCUGGUGGAAGCUCGUAGCGAUUCUGACGUGCAAAUCGAUCGUCAAAUUUAGGUAUAGGGGCGAAAGACUAAUCGAACCAUCUAGUAGCUGGUUCCCUCCGAAAUUUCCCUCAGGAUAGCAGCAACUUUUUACGAUAGUUUUAUGAGGUAAAGCGAAUGAUUAGAGGCCUCGGGGAAGAAACUUCCUCGA